rnacentral:rRNA from 1 species
AGUGGGUUUCACCAGAAGCAGGUGGUCUAACCGCAAGGAGGGCGCUUGCCACGGUGAGAUUCAUGACUGGGGUGAAGUCGUAACAAGGUAGCCGUAGGUGAACCUGCAGAAGGAUCA